ACAGAAAAUGAUAUCUAGACUAGAUACAGUGUUUAUUUUCGCAGUUACUUGGAGACUACGUAACAGUGAAUUUACAAGCAUAAUUCUACUAGCAACAAAUUAAAUCUGGAGAUUUAGACAUCUUUUUAAAAGCACUCUGGAUUACUUUCAUCUAUAAAGCUGCAGAAUUUUUGAGAAAAAAAGUCUUACUGUGCAGCAGACUAAAUUUUAGGUCAGUCUUCAUAACUGUGUCUUUGGUGAUGCAUCAGCUUGAUUAAGGAAAUUUAAAUCUGUCUGUUCUGAGAAAGAUUAAGUCCUGAAGUAUUUCCCAGAAGAACACCCAACUUCUCUGCAGCAAUGAUGGACUUUACAUGCAGCUGCAUACUUGAUAUGAGUGUUCUUAGUAAGCCUCUGAUUGAUGUGAACCCCACUUGUUACUCUCUGACACUUGUUACUUCCCACACUUGGGAUCCAAAUUGAUAGAGAGGUUGCAAAAACACAUGUUACAUCUUUUUAUGCUGUAUAACUAUUAGCUUCGAUUUGGAAGCAUUUAUUAAGAUCCUCCAGCUGGAGUUCUGUGUCAGCUACGAAGUGCCUCAGGAUGGGUAUUGCUUUUUUCGGUUGUAUUGAUCUGACUGCAAAUGCAGUGUUAUCUGCAUAACAUGUGCACUAAGUUAUAGCUGAGCCUCUCUUUCUGAAAGUCUAGAACAUAUAAAGGAGUGGGCCAAAGCAGGAGCCUCUUAGAAUUCCAACAUUAAUUCAUUCCUAGGGAAUAGUAAACAUUAUCAUAAUUCACUGUAAAGUAUCAUUGUUUGAGACAGGAGUUGUGGCAUAGUGUAUUUUUUCUUGAGAACCCAAAAUCAAUCAAGUUGUAAAUAAGCCUCUUAUGCCAAAUGGGGUCAAAUUCUACAAAUAAGAUAGGAGCUACAGCCAUAGUUAUACAAAAAAAAAAAAAAAAAAAAAAAACCAAGUAAACUCAAGCACAGUGCCAUCUAUCCAGGAAGAUAAUAAAGAAGUAUGAAAAAUUAAGAUAUUCGAAUUUUAAAGAUGUUUGGAAUAGUUGAAUUGGAAUUAACAUCAUUAACUAAACCAGAUAAAUUUUUAUGAAUGUGAAAAGCCUUCAAGGAAAUUCAUUUCUCUAACUAAAGAAGCUUUAUGUUUAAUUUUUGCUGAUUCAAAGUCAAAAUUGUGAUUAAAUUUCCAAGUAUGAUAAUCCUUCUGUCACUCUUCUGUCAUCUAAGGCAUGGGUGUCCAAAGUUUUUUCUGUCACACCUCUGUACUGCCAAAAAUAAAAAUUUCUGUGCCUCUUUUUCCAACAAUAAUAAUAUUACCUACCUAUAAGGGUAGUAAGAACAAAAAACAUAAAAGCUUAUUAUAGGAAUAUGCUGUUUUCACAUGCAUAUGCUAAGAAAAUAAAUAAACGAAACGAGCUUGCAAAUUUUUCACGAGAUUUUUCAGUUCUUGGCUGAAUAGAAGAAAGUAUGCAAUGUAAAUCACUUGCAGUAUUGAAUUUGCUUCUAUAGUUUGUUUUUAUUGUUACAACUGCUGAAAUCGUACAAAUAAGUGCCUGAAAAACUGUAGUACAGUUGCAGUGCUUACUCUACUGUGCUGGAAUAAAUUUUAAGAUAUUUUAUAAAAAAUAAGGGCUUAUCCAUGUUCUCAGAGUCAUAUUUUGUUGCAGAAUUACUUUUAAUGCCCAAAGCUUGCUCUUGUAGUAUUUCUGGCAGCAAAUCCAUGUCAGCAUGAAGAGGGUCUGUUGCAAUCUGUAAGUUAUUAUUACAUGUGUUAAAAAAAGUAACUUUUGAACUCAUCAGUGAGGUGCUGCAAAUGAUUUGAUAUUAUAUUCUUAGUAUCAGAAUCCUUAAAGUCAACUUCUUGCAGAAUUGCUAAUAGUUUGCGAAAGCAGGAAUAAUUGCAGGCUAAAUUUUAAAUUCCCGGAGUUGCAGUUUAUCAGUACAUGCUGUGAAUUUCAAUUUCAGUGAGUUUUCAGUGAAUUGAAAAUAUAUGAUAGAUAAGCUAAUACAAUUUGAAAACUUGGCUUUUGGAAUUCCACAUACAAUUCAGUUUGAUAUUGAAUUUCCAAAAACUGAAUCACUUCAUUUCAAAGUUCAAAUAAUCUUGCUAACAUAUUUCCUUUUGAGAGCCAGCGAACUUCCAUGUUAAAUAACAGUACUUUAUGUUCUGUUCUCAAAUCUUUACAAAGAGUCAUAAAAUGUCAAGUAUUUAAUACACUUCUUAACAUGGUUGAUGGUUUUGAUGCAUAAUUUUAAGACAUCAUUGAGUUCGUAUGAAAGGAUUUAACUGCCAAGGCUUGAUGGUGUAUAGCUCAGUGAGUAGCAGUAACACUGGGAUUUUAUUCUCUGAUCAAAUCCUGAGCACAUUGCAGAAACCCUGAGUGAGAUUCAAGCAUUGAUGGAGCGCCACCUGUGCAUACGCCAGUCAGCUUUUGCCAUGACAGUUAAUAUUUGCAAAAGAAUUCAAAAAUUGCUAUCAUUAAAUGAAUUGCUUUUGAAAUUUCACUCAGUGUAUGCCCAUCAUUCUUUAAAAAUAAGGCAAAAAGCAACUUUAUUUUGGCACAGAUUUUAAAUAAAGUUUCAUCGGUUUUGAAGGUGAUCAGACACAGGCCUUUCUUCAUCUUGCUCCUGAAUAUUUGCUUCUGAAGAAAGGUCUGUGUACUGAAAUUGGAGUUUUAUUCAAAACGUCAAGUCAAAAUAAGAAUUCACUUGGCUUGCAUCAUACUGGGAAUGAAUUAAUGAAAAGCCAAAAGAUGGUGUCCGGGAUUCUAAUACAUGUAUUUUGUCCAAAGCAGUUUCCUGAUGAGAAGAAUCUGAAAAAAAGCUCAUGCAUUGCUUCCAAAGGAAAAAAAUUAUUCUUGCAUGUUAGAACAGUAGAAGUUAUUACUCGUAAUUAAUUAGCUGGAAGGCAAAUCUGGCCAUUCGUAUGAAAAAUUAGUUUGGAUCAUCACUCUGUUCCUGCUAGUGAACAAUACAGUUAUCUUGCAAAAUUGCCGUGUACAAAGAACAGUUUUUCAUUGACAAAGAAUAAUAUUACAGUAUUUUCGAAAGAUGCUGAAUUUCAUAAAGUAGAAAACCGAUGUAAAAUCUGCAACAAGAAAUUUUCAACUCCCGGGAGUCUUAGAAGACAUAUGGAACUUCACUUCUAUCAGAGAAAGAACUUUCAUUGCCAACUGUGUGGUAAAAGAUUUUCGUGGAAAACUGAUCUACGUAAUCAUCUUAAAAGAACUCAUGGUUCAUAAGCAUUAUAAUGAUAAUUUUUCAUUUUCAGAUUAAUUUCUCUUCAGCAAUGAGCUUUCAGACUAUCAUCUUAAAUCAGAUAUAAUAGCAAUGAACAUAUGAAUUUUUUAAUGAAGUCUUUUAAAUAGACUCUAUAUGUUGAAUUUUUUAUAUAUAUUAAAAAUGAAAGAAAUUUAACUAUAUAGUUAUUUAUAUUCUUAAUUUUCUCUCUCUCUCUCUCUUUUUUUUUUUUUUUUUUUUUUUUUUUUUGUAUGGACAUGCAGAUUUUGAUGGUUUCUUGAAAGCAUACAUUCUGAAGUGAAUAAUCAUAUGUGUGUUGCAAUAACAUAAUCAACCAACUAAUACUUCUGUACUGUAAAUAUCUUUUAAUUGUUUGAGCAGAAAAAUACAGGUUUAGAUAAUCUGGAAAAAAAUAUUAAUUUAUAUUGCUUCUUAUGUUUAUAAAUAUUUUUAAAUGAUUAAAGUAAUUAAUUUAUACAUGUGUUUGUAUUUUUUUUUUUUUUUUUUAAAUUUUUGUCUCUACAUAUUCAUGGUAUUUGAAAUUUUACUGAGUUCUGAUUUAUUAAAUUUUCAAGUAUUUCAUAUAUCUUUCUGUAUAACUCUAUUAUUAAAUAAUAGAGGAGCUGUAUGUCCCUUGCACUAAACAAUGAGACCUCCAUCCAAACAUAUGCACCUUAAAGCUCAAAUUUUGAAUUUCAAAUUUUUUUUUCAUUUAUUUCAUAUUUUAUGCGAAUAUAAUGAGGUUUUGGACAAAAUGAGCAGUUUAAAAGCUAGCAGUGGCAACAUUGUUUGAAAUGAAACAUUUUUACCUCAGUGCAUCAGACUGUUGCGGUUUGGCAAAUAUAAGAUUUUUAUUUUUCAGUUUUAAUCAACAAAUUUGGCUAUUUAAAAGUAUUAUGUUGCUGCUGUCUGAAAUAAAAUACUUUUAUCUUCCAUGUAAAAGUGUGUCCAUCAGUAUGUUACUAUUCAGUAAAGUAUAAGUUAAAACUUUCAAAUUUAUGUGUCUGUAAUUGUCAGUUUUAAUCUAACAACCCAGGCGAUUUAAAAGCAAUAAACACAGUUCUUAAGACUAUUAUUUUCUUUUCAAUCUGAUUAAUUUAUAUAAAAAUGUAUUUAAAUAAGAUCUCUAGUUAGAAAUACUAAAUAUUUUUAUGAAAUUGCUCUAGCUGAACUAACUAAAAUAAUUAAUAUUUUUAAAAUUUUUAUGAUAGGCAGCAGGCCAUGCAAGCAGCUAUUAAAUUCAUAAAUUGUGCAUUUACAGAUACAAUAAUUUUGGUCAUUUUGUUCUGAUUAGAAGGCACAAAAAGUAUCUUAUGUAAUUAAAACACAUAAAGUUUCAUAAUGAUUUUUUUCUAAAUAUUACACCUUUAUAGUACAACUAUACUUAAACAUCAGCAGCUUUUUUUUUUUUUUUAUGGUAUGGAUAAAUUAUUUUGGUUUGUUAAAAAUCUUUUUGAUGAUUUAAAUUCAGUGACUAAGUUUUAUGGAAACAUAUAUGCAGCAUACUGCAUGCGUAGAUGCAGCUAAUAUGCAGCAGCGUCAUUACUAACUAAAUUUUGAAUGGUGAAAGAGUAACCAGAGUUUCCGUUUUAUAGAUCUCAUAAUGAAAGCAUAUUCACUUACUGCAAAGUAUCAGACUGAAGACAGAAAAGGGAAGACAUAUCAUUCUUUUUGCAGAAAGAGAAAAAUCUUUCUUUCUUCAUAUGGCUAGUAAAAUAUGUAAUAGUUAAUUUAUUUUAAGUGUAGAAAAGUUUGCGUAGAAUAUUGUUUAUUGUGAUCAUGAUUAAAGUUAACAAUUGGAUAUUAUCAUCAGUUUGUUGAAGUGCUACUCGUUUGUAUUCAGAAACAUUGAAAAUUCAUUAUUUUUUAUAAUCAGCAAGUUCUUUAAUAUAUUAAAAACAGUGCAGUAUGAGUUGUUUCUUUCAAAUCAAAAUGAUAUGCUUUUAAUGUUUUUAUCAUUUUAUGGUGAUUUUGGUGUAUGUGUUUAAUCAUUUAAGGAAUUCAAACACUUUACAACUUUCUAAGUUUUUUUUUUUUUUUUUUUAAUCUGAGGCAUGUAAAAGUGUAAUUAUCUGAAUAGGUAAAAAUGCUAUAAACUAUUGCAUAGAUAUCAUCAAUAGUUUUAAUGAAUGAAUAUUGAAAUAGAGUAAUGGAAUGAGUAAUGUUUUUCAUUCUUUGUUUGAGUUAUAUGAUGCAUUGCAUAAGUUUAAAAUUUAAAUUUUAUUCCUUUCUGUUGAAAUUUUAUUCCUUCUAACAACUCACACACCUAUAACUCAAAUGUAUGGUGAAAGAUUCAUGAGAGCAAUGAAAGGCUAUCUUGGUGAAAUGAUCAGUGACCAUUUGCAGUGUGGAAGAUAUUGACAUAAGUGCAAUAGGUUGACAAAGAAAUCUUCAUAAUGCUUCAUAAGGAAAUCUAUAUAUGAACAUAGUAGCCAUAGUUCUUUGUAUAGUAUAUCAACUAUAGAUGAUAUUUUGUGAAGCAUCUAGCAGUAUAUUUUACUGAAAAACAGAGAUGCAAAGGACCUACAAAUAAAUUUUUUCCCCAUCAAAAUAAAAAAUAUGUGAGAAAGGGCAUGAUGAUAAAAAAUAUAUAAAAAAGAUUUGAGGUAGUAAGAUAAAUUUCCAAUGAAAAAAAAAAAAAAAAAAAAGGAAAGAUGCUUAUUCAAAAAGACAAAAACAAUUCAUAUAUGCAUCAUUUUGUGUAUAAGGGAUGCAAGCACUGCUGUUUAUGUGAAAUAUUCGUAUGGCUAUAGCAUGCCUUAAAUUGUGCAUUUAUGAUUUAAAGCUUAAGGAAUUUUUAAGUAAACUUUUUUGUUUUAGAAAUAUGCAAAUUUAAGAAAUAUAAAAUAUGUUUCUAAUUAAAUAUUUUCAGUUGUUU